UAAGUACUAGUGUCUGCCUGCUGGGAA
rnacentral:sRNA from 1 species